GAAGGCCUACGGGACGCAGCAGUGGGGAAUAUUGCACAAUGGGCGAAAGCCUGAUGCAGCAACGCCGCGUGAAGGAAGAAGGGUUUCGGCUCGUAAACUUCUAUCAACAGGGACGAAAGAAAUGACGGGACCUGAAUAAGAAGCCCCGGCUAACUACGUGCCAGCAGCCGCGGUAAUACGUAGGGGGCAAGCGUUAUCCGGAAUUACUGGGUGUAAAGGGUGAGUAGGCGGCAUGGUAAGCCAGAUGUGAAAGCCUUGGGCUUAACCCGAGGAUUGCAUUUGGAACUAUCAAGCUAUAGAACAGG
rnacentral:rRNA from 1 species